rnacentral:lncRNA from 1 species
AAACCUAAGAUGUACUAAUCCCAAACAGCAGCUGUGCCGAGAGAGCAUGGACAACAGUCAAGCCACGCAGUCCAGGGGGGAGGCAGGAUCUGCAGCUCUCAGAUCCAGUCUCAAGAUGGGAAGCUCGGGUGUGCUAUGGAAGGAGAAGCCUCUGAGGUAACGCCCUUCCCUCCUUCUCUCUCCCCUUCUCCCUUUUUCUUCUCCCCUCCCUCUCUUGCCCCCUCAUUUCCUGUCUUUUCUCUCUUCUUUCUUGUAGUCCUUUCUCCUUUCCCAUCUCCUGCCUUCUCCUUCCCCAGUCAGUCCUUGGGUCCCCAACACAGGAAAGAGAUCAGGUGUGAGCCUGGGUUAGGCCUACCUUCCCCACAAGCCUUCCUAGUUCUGUGACCUCAGCCAGGGUCUCAGGCAGAGGUGACCAGGUCCUAAGACUUUACAGAUCAGGGGCAGCUGGUAAGACUUGAACAAGGCUACCAGAUAACCUGAGAGGGGACCCCAGGAUGAGGAGACAUCCGGUCCCCAGCUCAGCUAUAGACUGUGGCGAGGACAGUUGCCAUCUGAAGAGGAGUUACAAUGACCAGUCACACCACACCUCCAGGAGAUGGGGCCGGUUCUGGUCUGCAGGUCUGGAACCCUCAUGUGCCUUCCCGCAGCCUGCAGGCUGCUCUGGCAGUUCUGGCCCAGAUUCUUUGUGCUGCCAAGGGACCGGUUGGAGUCUUGGGGCUUCUACUGGUCCAUCCACGGCCAUCCCAGACACGAAGACUCUGACUUUUUUCUCCACAUAUCCAUGGACCUGAGGGACAAUUGGGCACUGUGGCUACCAGCUGCUGCCCACGCUGGAUUGCCACGUGAGGGCAAAGGAUGACCUCUGAGCCUCUCCACGUUCUGCAAAGAUAAUUCUGGUUCCUCCCUGUCCUCCUAGGAUCCUGUUUCAGUUCCUACAUGUGUGUGUGUGUGUGGGGGGGGUCAUUGACUCCGCAGCCUUGUUUCACCAAGUCUUUCCCAGAAGUAAAUCUUGAUGCU